rnacentral:rRNA from 1 species
GUGGGGAAUAUUGCACAAUGGGGGAAACCCUGAUGCAGCAACGCCACGUGUGGGAAGAAGCAUUUCGGUGUGUAAACCACUGUCAUGAGGGAAUAAGGCCCGCCUUCGGACGGGAUUGAAUGUACCUUGAGAGGAAGCACCGGCAAACUUCGUGCCAGCAGCCGCGGUAAUACGAGGGGUGCAAGCGUUGUUCGGAAUUACUGGGCGUAAAGGGAGCGUAGGCGGAGAUUCAAGCGGAUUGUACAAUCCCGGGGCCCAACCCCGGCUCUGCAGUCCGAACUGGAUCUCUUGGAUAGUUCAGGGGCAGGCGGAAUUCCUGGUGUAGCGGUGGAAUGCGUAGAGAUCAGGAAGAACACCGAUGGCGAAGGCAGCCUGCUGGGGACUAAUCGACGCUGAGGCUCGAAAGUGCGGGUAGCAAACAGG